rnacentral:rRNA from 1 species
UACGUAGGGUGCAAGCGUUGUCCGGAAUUAUUGGGCGUAAAGAGCUCGUAGGCGGUCUGUCGCGUCUGCUGUGAAAACUCAGGGCUUAACCCUGAGCUUGCAGUGGGUACGGGCAGACUAGAGUGCGGUAGGGGAGACUGGAAUUCCUGGUGUAGCGGUGGAAUGCGCAGAUAUCAGGAGGAACACCGAUGGCGAAGGCAGUUCUCUGGGCCGUAACUGACGCUGAGGAGCGAAAGCGUGGGGAGCAAACAGG